CUGCCGAUGAGAAGUACAUUAGAGAGAUUAUAAACCUUACUUCUUAUUCUAGGGGUUAUGUUAGUGCUUGUGUGGCUACUGUAUCUAGACGCUUAAGCAAAACCCAUGAUUGGAUUGUGGCCAUCAAGGCUUUGAUGCUUCUUCAUAGGCUUCUGGUCGAUGGCCACCCUUCAUUUGAGGAGGAGAUUGUGUAUGCCACCAGGAGUGGGAUGCGUGUUUUGAAUAUGUCGGGUUUUAGAGAUGAGGCACACUCCCAUUCCUGGGAUCAUGCGGCAUUUGUCAGGUUUUAUGCAAUGUAUCUUGAUGAGAAACUUGAGGUUGCAAUUUCUGAGAGAAAAUUGAAAGCCAGUGAAAGGAAAUAUGAUGAGAGUGAUGAUGGGUUUGGACAAAGAGAAUAUAGGGACGAUUUUGAUUAUGGGAUGCCCAGAUCAAGGUCUUAUGGUGAUUUGAAUGAUGAUUCAGUUGGAAAAGAACAGAGGAGAGAGGCUACUCCAAUUAGACAAAUGAGGCCAGAGAGGAUUUUGAACAAAUUGAACCAGCUUUUGAGGAUGCUUGAUAGAGUUUUGGCUUGUAGGCCAACGGGGAUGGCUAAGAAUAGCAGGUUGAUUCUCGUGUCAAUUUACAGGGUAGUGAAGGAGAGUUUUGGUCUUUAUGCUGAUAUAUGCGUGGCAUUGGGGAUGGUGUUGGAUAGAUUUACUGAGAUGGAGUAUGCAGGUUGUGUUAAGGGAUUUGAUAUGUAUGUUA
rnacentral:misc_RNA from 1 species